GACGAACGCUGGCGGCGUGCUUAACACAUGCAAGUCGAGCGGAAAGGCCUCUUCGGGGGUACUCGAGCGGCGAACGGGUGAGUAACACGUGAGUAAUCUGCCUCUGGCUUCGGGAUAGCCACCGGAAACGGUGAUUAAUACCGGAUACGACACAUCACUGCAUGGUUCGUGUGUGGAACGUUUUUUCGGCCAGGGAUGUGCUCGCGGCCUAUCAGCUUGUUGGUGGGGUAAUGGCCUACCAAGGCUUCGACGGGUGGCCGGCCUGAGAGGGUGACCGGCCACACUGGGACUGAGACACGGCCCAGACUCCUACGGGAGGCAGCAGUGGGGAAUAUUGGACAAUGGGCGGAAGCCUGAUCCAGCAACGCCGCGUGAGGGAUGACGGCCUUCGGGUUGUAAACCUCUUUCAGCACAGACGAAGCGCAAGUGACGGUAUGUGCAGAAGAAGGACCGGCCAACUACGUGCCAGCCGCCGCGGUAAGAC
rnacentral:rRNA from 1 species